rnacentral:rRNA from 1 species
UCGACCUCAAAUCAGGUAGGACUACCCGCU